rnacentral:lncRNA from 1 species
UUAAUAUACACUGCAGUUGGCCAGAGUCUCAGAGAUUGUCCUGCCCUCCCUGCUCUCCGCACCAGCUGUUCAGGGAAACUGCCAAACUGUAGCAGCCUCUAGCUCAUUUCCCGGGAAGGCCACUACCAGCUGUUCUGCCGUGCUCAGAGCCAGCAACUAGAGGCAUCACUGAAUCUUAGGUCACUGCUUCCACCUCUACUGCAGAUGAGGAAACUGACCAGUUCUGGGGCAGUUACUAUCUACGUGAAAUGACCAGAAGAGGAGAUGGAGCGAAAGGCCCAGGAGACUUCUGUGUCCCAACCACAGCGGCUACGUUACCCUUCCCCAGGCCAGCUCCGUCAGGGAAGCUUCCAGAAUCCAGCGCCAUCUUCCCCGUGAGCAACUGGUGGAGUGCUAGGGGGAAAGCCUGCCCCCUUAUGUACUGCUCCUAGGGGUGGGACACGCCCCUGGUUUCCACAUUUCGAUGCAUCAAUGUAUCAACUACUCUCAGUUUAUCCAGUGUUGAGAAGGGAAAUGCCGUGAUCCUCAUGACUGGCUGGGUGGAGGAGUAGAGACUAGAAUUCUGAAAAACUGUCCCCUUCCCACCUUGGCUGCAGAUCGACAGACGAUUCUUCUGUGUGUUAGGCAGAGAUUUUUCUUUAUCUUGAAGACGAGUGAUACAUGGAGGAACUCUAGUAUAUAGAGAAAGGAACAAAGAUAAGAUGAAUCCACACUAAAAAGACACCUUAAUCUUAAUUUGUUUGACCAGGUAAUUUUUGCCUUUGGGUAUAAUUUUUUGUUGUUGAGAGUCAUUGCUUCACAGAUCACAUGUUACGGGGAAGACAGUGAAAUUAAAGAUGUUCUCUCUGUGUGUGUCUUGGACUUGAUUGACAGCCAUGCCCUCCAUACAUAGUAGAAAACACAUUUCCUGGAAGCUCCAAAAUCAUGGGCUUGAACCUCGGGAAAAGAUAGACCUUAUCGGAUUUCCCAUCGUGGCGCAAAUCCGGUAAGUUCCGUGGCAGAUUUCCUGUUAAUGAAUCCAACUAGGAACCACUGGCCUUGCUCAGUGGGUUAAGGAUCUGGCAUUGCCGUGAGCUGUGGUGUGGGUUGCAGAUGCAGCUCAGAUCCCGAG